rnacentral:lncRNA from 1 species
AUUUUAUAAAAAAUAAAGUGAUGCCUACUUUUAUUUGUUAUAUAUUGAACCCUCUGGCAGAAGACAGCAUAGUCAUUGUUUUAUGUCAAUCUUCAGCAAGGGAGAAGAAAAAGCAGAAGGAUUUUGAACUAGUAUUCUCUGAAAGAAAAGUAAAAGAGAAAAUGGCAACAACAUAUACAAGCAGAGCAGAUUUACAAUUUGGGGAUUUACAUUUUACAAACUUUAGGGAUGAGAAAACUUGAAAAGAUUAGGGUACAUUUGAAAAGUUCUGAAGGAUUUUAGAGAUCUACUAAACUGCCUGGGCCCAAACAAAUUAACCUGAAAUGUUAUGAUAUUUUCUUUUACAGUAUCUCAAAUGCUUCUGGAAUUCCUGAGAUAUAUAAUCACACUGUGGUUGUGAUAUAAGCCGACUCUACUCUUGUGGUGAUCCAUGGUCAAGGCUGCAGUGGAGCUGACUUAUAACGAUGAAGCAAACAUGGACAGAGGUCAUUUGGUAUGGGAAGAAUUUCAGUCAUGUGGUAGAAGGGAAACCUGGAUGUAAGCAGCAAACUGUGGAUGUGCUAAGUAUAAGCACGAGCCAAUGCAUUGCUGUCUUCCGUGAAGGAAUUUUGUUUUUGAUCCUCCACUACUACCCCACAACAACCCUGAGGAUAUCUCCAACCUUGGAAAUGAAUGUCAUCUUUCCUUCCUCCUCCUCAUUCUUUUUUAAAGGGACAUUUUUGUUUCUUUGA